GAUUAACGCUGGCGGCGUGCAUAACACAUGCAAGUCGAACGAUGAAACUUAACUGAUUUCUUCGGAAUGAUUUUAAGUGGAUUAGUGGCGGACGGGUGAGUAACGCGUGAGUAACCUGCCUUGGAGAAGGGGAUAGCCUUUGGAAACGAAGAAUAAUACCCUAUGAUAUGAUAAUAUCUCAUGAUAUUAUCAUCAAAGAUUUAUCGCUCUAAGAUGGACUUGCGUCUGAUUAGUUAGUUGGUGAGGUAACAGCUCACCAAGGCAGCGAUCAGUAGCCGGCUUGAGAGAGUGUACGGCCACAUUGGGACUGAGACACGGCCCAGACUCCUACGGAAGGCAGCAGUGGGGAAUUUUGCACAAUGGGGGAAACCCUGAUGCAGCGACGCCGCGUGAUUUAGAAGGCCUUCGGGUUGUAAAAAUCUUUUGUAUGGGAAGAAAAUGACAGUACCAUACGAAUAAGGACCGGCUAAUUACGU
rnacentral:rRNA from 1 species